GGUGAACGCUGGCGGCGUGCUUAAGACAUGCAAGUCGAACGCAGUCUUCGGACUGAGUGGCGCACGAGUGAGUAACACGUAACUGACCUACCCCCAAGUCGCGAAUAACCAGCCGAAAGGAUGGCUAAUACGUGAUGUGAUGAUCCGCUGUGGCGGAUCAUUAAAGACUUGAUCGCUUGGGGAUGGGGUUGCGUUCCAUCAGCUAGUUGGUAAGGUAAAGGCUUACCAAGGCAACGACGGAUAGCCGGCCUGAGAGGGUGGCCGGCCACAGGGGAACGGAGACACGGGUCCCACUCCUACGGGAGGCAGCAGUUAGGAAUCUUCCACAAUGGGCGCAAGCCUAAUGGAGCGACGCCGCGUGAGGGAUGAAGGUUCUCGGAUCGUAAACCUCUGAACCAACGACGAAAGACCCGACAAGGGAGAUGACGGUAGUUGGGUAAUAGCACCGGCUAACUCCGUGCCAGCAGCCGCCGUAAGAC
rnacentral:rRNA from 1 species